rnacentral:rRNA from 1 species
CCUACGGGGGGCAGCAGUGAGGAAUAUUGGUCAAUGGGCGCGAGCCUGAACCAGCCAAGUAGCGUGAAGGAUGACUGCCCUACGGGUUGUAAACUUCUUUUAUAAAGGAAUAAAGUGAGGCACGUGUGCCUCUUUGUAUGUACUUUAUGAAUAAGGAUCGGCUAACUCCGUGCCAGCAGCCGCGGUAAUACGGAGGAUCCGAGCGUUAUCCGGAUUUAUUGGGUUUAAAGGGAGCGUAGAUGGGUUGUUAAGUCAGGUGUGAAAGUUUGCGGCUCAACCGUAAAAUGGCAAUUGAUACUGGCAUCCUUGAGUACAGUUGAGGUAGGCGGAAUUCGUGGUGUAGCGGUGAAAUGCUUAGAUAUCACGAAGAACUCCGAUUGCGAAGGCAGCCUACUAGACUGCCACUGACGUUGAUGCUCGAAAGUGUGGGUAUCAAACAGGAUUAGAUACCCUGGUAGUC